CCAAUAGCGUAUAUUAAAGUUGUUGCAGUUAAAAAGCUCGUAGUUGAAUUUCGGGGUUAGUAGGUUGGUCGUGCCAUUGGUGUGUACUAGUCUAACUGAUUCCUCCUUCUUGAAGAACUGUAAUGUCAUUAAUUUGGUGUUGCAGGGAAACAGGACUGUUACUUUGAAAAAAUUAGAGUGUUUAAAGCAGGCUAACGCUUGAAUACAUUAGCAUGGAAUAAUGAAAUAGGACGUUCGAUCUUAUUUUGUUGGUUUCUAGGAUUGACGUAAUGAUUAAUAGGGAUAGUUGGGGGCAUUAGUAUUCAAUUGUCAGAGGUGAAAUUCUUGGAUUUAUUGAAGACUAACUACUGCGAAAGCAUUUGCCAAGGAUGUUUUCAUUAAUCAAGAACGAAAGUUAGGGGAUCGAAGACGAUCAGAUACCGUCGUAGUCUUAACCAUAAACUAUGCCGACUAGGGAUCGGAUGAUGUUAAUUUUUUAAUGACUCAUUCGGCGCCUUACG
rnacentral:rRNA from 1 species